UGGCAAUGAUCUGAAUUUAUCCGCGCUUCUGAUUGAAAUCCAUGAAGCACACGAAAGUUAAUGGUUGAAUUUCUUAAUAUGAGCCA